rnacentral:tRNA from 1 species
GUCUUCAUAGUCUAGUAGGUUAAGACAUCGCCCUUUCACGGCGAAAACACGAGUUCAAAUCUCGUUGAAGGUA